AACUUUUGGCAAUGGAUCUCUAGGCUCUCGCAACGAUGAAGAACGCAGCGAAAUGCGAUACGUAAUGUGAAUUGCAGAAUUCCGUGAAUCAUCUAAUCUUUGAACGCACAUUGCACUCUAUUUCGGUAGAGUAUGCCUGUUUGAGAAUCUAUAGUAUUCUUUUUCCAACUUUAUAGUUUACUAUUGGGUUGGAGAGAUUUGAGGAUUCCCUAUAGCUUUUAGUUAAGGGUUCCUUUAAAUAGAUAACUUUGAAUGGCAAUUUGAUGUUUGAACCUUCAACAUUCAUUGGAACAGUAGUCGAAUAAACCUUGUGUUUAACUUUUGCUUAUUACUUUGAUAGGAGGCUAGUCGUUUUGUUAUUGAAGGUCCAUAACCUAAUAAAGGCAACUUUUGUUGUCUUGAACCAUGGUCUCAAAUCAGGUAGGAAGACCCGCUGAACUUAAGCAUAUCAAUAAGCGGAGGCU
rnacentral:misc_RNA from 1 species